AUUGAACGCUGGCGGCAGGCUUAACACAUGCAAGUCGAGCGGGGUGAUGGUGCUUGCACUAUCACUUAGCGGCGGACGGGUGAGUAAUGCUUAGGAAUCUGCCUAUUAGUGGGGGACAACAUCUCGAAAGGGAUGCUAAUACCGCAUACGUCCUACGGGAGAAAGCAGGGGAUCACUUGUGACCUUGCGCUAAUAGAUGAGCCUAAGUCGGAUUAGCUAGUUGGUGGGGUAAAGGCCUACCAAGGCGACGAUCUGUAGCGGGUCUGAGAGGAUGAUCCGCCACACUGGGACUGAGACACGGACCAGACUCCUACGGGAGGCAGCAGUGGGGAAUAUUGGACAAUGGGGGGAACCCUGAUCCAGCCAUGCCGCGUGUGUGAAGAAGGCCUUAUGGUUGUAAAGCACUUUGAGCGAGGAGGAGGCUCUUUUGGUUAAUACCCAAGAUGAGUGGACGUUACUCGCAGAGUAAGUACCGGCUAACUACGUGCCAGCCGCCGCGGUAA
rnacentral:rRNA from 1 species